rnacentral:rRNA from 1 species
UACGAAGGGUGCAAGCGUUAAUCGGAAUUACUGGGCGUAAAGCGUGCGCAGGCGGUUCGUUAAGUCAGAUGUGAAAGCCCCGGGCUCAACCUGGGAACUGCAUUUGAAACUGGCGGGCUUGAGUGUGGCAGAGGGGGGUGGAAUUCCGCGUGUAGCAGUGAAAUGCGUAGAGAUGUGGAGGAACACCGAUGGCGAAGGCAGCCCCCUGGGUCAAGACUGACGCUCAUGCACGAAAGCGUGGGGAGCAAACAGG